rnacentral:lncRNA from 1 species
GCAGGCAGGGGAGGAGCUCGGCGGAGCUCCCCCGUCGUGCUCGCCGCCAGCAAGCACCCACGGGCCACGGCGGGGGAGGAAGUAUUCGCCGGCGCCGGUGGGGCGCAAGGUAUACUUCCGUCUCCCUGUUGUCCUAGCUCUGUCCAAUUUUUUGUUUGUUCUAUCUGAUCUGCCUCUUUCCGUGUUUGAUUCAGUUCAUCGUCGUGGUCGCCGGGCAUAGAGCCAUGUCGCAGGGGUUGUUCAGUUAGCUAGUUUUUGGGUAAGAACGUUUUGCCAUAGCUUAGUCCACCCCAGCGAUUUUGACUGGUUCAUGAGAAACGAUCCUGAAUUUUUUUUCCAGCCACCUAUACGCGCGUGUCAGUCAAUCCCCAAAUUUCAUCGCCUAAGUCCGCCUCGUUGUUUUUCUGGACAUAGAUCUCCGGUUCUACGAAGUGUUGAGUGUCAAUUUCACCACUAAACAGAACAUUCCUCUAAGCUGACUACAAAGUGUCGGAUGUAGAUCUCGGGUUCGGCUCCUCUGCAGUCGUGUAAAAACUGCACAGGUGCUGUAUGUGUGGGAGUUAGUUGAGAUUUUUUAGGCAUUUGCUGGUGAUUCGAUUUUUUGUGGGAGGGUCUAUGCAAUGUUCAGUAAUGGUUCAGGUGGUAUUUUCGGCUGCUUUAUGUUGAUGUAAGCAUGGACGAAGGAAUGUUCUGAGUCCUUUUUCUUGGUCAGCAUCUUCCAUCAUGAAAACAUGCUCACAAUCUAUGUUUUAUGUACUUAUCAUUUUUCAGUUUAGUGAAUGAGAGCUAGUUUUUGGUACUAGAUUAUUCUUUUUUUUAGCAUGUUUUGUACAUUAUUCAGCUUAAGUAAUUCCUUCAUUAUGAAGAUGGUUUUGCUUCUCAGGCCCGAGUUUUGGGAGCAAGUUCGCGGUUAUUUUUUGAUGUGAUUUAUCAACGCUAAAACAGAUGGACCUGAAUUUUUCCCGUUACUUGUUAUGUAUUGGCUAUUAUAAAUUUGCAGUAUACUUUUUUUAUGUGCAGGCCCUUUUCCUGCAUGAACACUGGUGUUUUUUAGUGGAGGCUUCUUUUUUGCUGUAGUGCAGGUUCAUGGGUGUUCAUUUUCCAGUAGACGGCGAUUUGUUUUUCAUUGCAGUGCCUCCAAUUAAGGUGUGUUGGAAGUCAAUUUUUUCAGGGGUCGGUCGAACAGUAAAAUAGUGGUCAUAGUGGUCAGGGUCCCUAUUUGUCUUGUUGGAUUUGCUUCAUUCCUCUGUUUACAUACCUUGCUCAUCCAUCUCUUCUUCUUCAUCCCUGUCCAUAGUAUUGAAAUGUUGUUUAAUUCUGUCCAUUUCUGCUAGCAGGUACUUAUAUUUAUCUUGACUUUUUUAUCCAUUCGAGCCCAGCUGCAUUAGCUUCAUUCCUAGGACAUUGUACCUGAGCUGAUCAAAGUGGAAUUUCUUUGGGUUAAAUUCAUUUUCUUGCCUUCUUCCAACCAUUUGUGUAUUAUGUAUUUAUGUGGUAUCUUAUCUACCUCAAAGUGCAGCAUCACUUUCAGAAUGUGAGAGCACAAAUGUCAUCUUUUUUCGAACUUGGAACAAAUGCAGGAGUAAUCCUCUUUCUUAGUGUCCACUUGCACCUGAAAGGAUCGAUAUAGUUGACUAGAGGGGGGGGGGGGGUGAAUAGGCAACUAACAAUUUUCAGCUUUUCUUCACCAAUUUAAACUUUGCAUCAAAGUAGGUUGUCUAGAUAUGCAACUAGGUGGGCAACCUAUAUGAUGCAAUAACAAUAAGCACACACGCAAGCAAAAGAUACAACACAAAUAAGCUUGCACAAGUAAAGGCACGAGAUAACCAAGAGUGGAGCCGGUGAAGACGAGGAUGUGCAUCAAAGUUCCUUCCCUUGAGAGGAAGUAUGUCUCCGUUGGAGUGGUGUGGAGGCACAAUGCUCCCCAAGAAGCC